GAUAAGAACGUAGCGAAAUGCGAUAAGUAAUGUGAAUUGCAGAAUUCAGUGAAUCAUCGAAUCUUUGAACGCACAUUGCGCCCCUUGGUAUUCCGAGGGGCAUGCCUGUUCGAGCGUCAUUAUAACCCCUCAAGCUCAGCUUGGUGUUGGGGCCUGCUGCACUGGCAGCCCUUAAAAUCAGUGGCGGCGCCGUCUGGCUCUAAGCGUAGUAAUUCUUCUCGCUAUGGAGUCCUGGUGGAUGCUUGCCAUCAACCCCCAAUUUUUCUAUGGUUGACCUCGGAUCAGGUAGGGAUACCCGCUGAACUUAAGCAUAUCAAUAAGCGGAGGA
rnacentral:misc_RNA from 1 species